GCGAACGCUGGCGGCAGGCCUAACACAUGCAAGUCGAACGGACCUUUCGGGGUUAGUGGCGGACGGGUGAGUAACACGUGGGAACGUGCCUUUUGGUUCGGAAUAGCUCCUGGAAACGGGUGGUAAUGCCGAAUGUGCCCCCUCCUUUAUUGGGGGGUGGGAAAGAUUUAUCGCCAUUAGAGCGGCCCGCGUCUGAUUAGCUGGUUGGUGAGGUAAAGGCUCACCAAGGCGACGAUCAGUAGCUGGUCUGAGAGGAUGACCAGCCACAUUGGGACUGAGACACGGCCCAAACUCCUACGGGAGGCAGCAGUGGGGAAUCUUGCGCAAUGGGCGAAAGCCUGACGCAGCCAUGCCGCGUGAAUGAUGAAGGUCUUAGGAUUGUAAAAUUCUUUCACCGGGGACGAUAAUGACGGUACCCGGAGAAGAAGCCCCGGCUAACUUCGU
rnacentral:rRNA from 1 species